GAUAUUCUGACAGUUUGAUCUGAUUAGGAAAUUGAUAUGUAUGUCUGACCGUACUGUUUAGGUAACCCACAAACUUAGGCGGGUCGAUGCGAUAGAGGAUUAGAGGUGAACACUAGACUGAGAUCUGUUUUUGUUUAGUAAUAAUAGUUUUAUUUUAAAAUCUAGUUUUCUUAAGAGUUUGUAUUUUUAGGGACUCUCUGGACUGUAUAGUUUUAAUUUUUGGAUUUGAAUUUCAUUUUGCAUUCUUUUCCGCAACGUUGACAAAAACAUUAUGCAAACAAAUGCUUUUAACAAAUGGUUUUUGAAAAAACAA